CCUUAGAGUUUGAUCCUGGCUCAGAACGAACGCUGGCGGCAGGCUUAACACAUGCAAGUCGAGCGCCCCGCAAGGGGAGCGGCAGACGGGUGAGUAACGCGUGGGAACAUACCCUUUGGUUCGGAAUAACUCAGGGAAACUUGAGCUAAUACCGGAUACGUCCGUAAGGAGAAAGAUUUAUCGCCAAAGGAUUGGCCCGCGUCCGAUUAGCUAGUUGGUGAGGUAACGGCUCACCAAGGCUACGAUCGGUAGCUGGUCUGAGAGGAUGAUCAGCCACAUUGGGACUGAGACACGGCCCAAACUCCUACGGGAGGCAGCAGAAGGG
rnacentral:rRNA from 1 species